AGAAUCAACGCUGGCGGCGUGCCUAACACAUGCAAGUCGAACGAGAAAGUGGAGCAAUCCACAAGUAAAGUGGCGCACGGGUGAGUAACACGUGACUAACCUACCCUUGAGUGGGGGAUAACCUAGGGAAACCUGGGCUAAUACCGCAUAAUACCUUCGGGUCAAAGGAGCAAUUCGCUUAAGGAGGGGGUCGCGGCCGAUUAGUUAGUUGGCGGGUAAUGGCCCACCAAGACUGUGAUCGGUAUCC
rnacentral:rRNA from 1 species